rnacentral:ncRNA from 1 species
UGACUCUCUUAAGGUAGCCAAAUGCCUCGUCAUUUAAUUCGUGACGCGCAUGA